rnacentral:rRNA from 1 species
GAGUUUGAUCCUGGCUCAGGGUGAACGCUGGCGGCGCGCUUAAUGCAUGCAAGUCGAGCGUGCCCCGACUGCUUCGGCUAUCGGGGCAAGCGGCAGACGGCUGAGUAACGCGUGAGUAACCUGCCCUUUGGUGGGGUAUAGCCUCGGGAAACUGAGGGUAAUCCCGCAUAAGACCCCGGUGCCUUGGUACCGGGAUGAAAGCCUUCGGGCGCCAGAGGAGGGGCUCGCGUCCUAUCAGGUAGUUGGUGAGGUAAUGGCUCACCAAGCCGAUGACGGGUAGCUGGUCUGAGAGGACGACCAGCCAGAGGGGGACUGAGACACGGCCCCCACUCCUACGGGAGGCAGCAGCAGGGAAUUUUGGGCAAUGGGCGAAAGCCUGACCCAGCGACGUCGCGUGGGGGAUGAAGGCUUUCGGGUUGUAAACCCCUUUCAGCAGGGACGAAAAUGACGGUACCUGCAGAAGAAGCCCCGGCCAACUACGUGCCAGCAGCCGCGGUAACACGUAGGGGGCAAGCGUUGUCCGGAUUUAUUGGGCGUAAAGAGCUCGUAGGCGGUUGCGUAAGUCGGAUGUGAAAACUCAGGGCUCAACCCGGAGAUGCCAUCUGAUACUGCGCUGACUAGAGUCCGGUAGAGGAGCAUGGAAUUCUUGGUGUAGCGGUGAAAUGCGCAGAUAUCAGGAGGAACACCAGCGGCGAAGGCGGUGCUCUGGGCCGGAACUGACGCUGAGGAGCGAAAGCGUGGGUAGCGAACAGGAUUAGAUACCCUGGUAGUC